AACGAACGCUGGCGGCAUGCCUAACACAUGCAAGUCGAACGUGCUCUUCGGAGCAAGUGGCGCACGGGUGCGUAACGCGUGGGUAUCUGCCCUUGGGUGCGGAAUAACAGUUAGAAAUGACUGCUAAUACCGCAUAAUGACUCCGGUCCAAAGAUUUAUCGCCCAAGGAUGAGCCCGCGUAGGAUUAGCUAGUUGGUGGGGUAAAGGCCUACCAAGGCGACGAUCCUUAGCUGGUCUGAGAGGAUGAUCAGCCACACUGGGACUGAGACACGGCCCAGACUCCUACGGGAGGCAGCAGUGGGGAAUAUUGGACAAUGGGCGAAAGCCUGAUCCAGCAAUGCCGCGUGAGUGAUGAAGGCCUUAGGGUUGUAAAGCUCUUUUACCAGGGAUGAUAAUGACAGUACCUGGAGAAUAAGCUCCGGCUAACUCCGUG
rnacentral:rRNA from 1 species